AGCGAACGUUAGCGGCAGGCCUAACACAUGCAAGUCGCGCGAGAAUGGGGCUUCGGCUCCUAGUAAAGCGGCGGACGGGUGAGUAACACGUGGAUAAUCUGCCCUUCGGCGGGGGACAACAGUCCGAAAGGAUUGCUAAUACCGCGUAAGUCGGCGAGGUCUUCGGAUCUUGUCGGGAAAGAUGGCCUCUUCAUGAAAGCUAUCACCGAAGGAUGAGUCCGCGUCCCAUCAGCUAGUUGGCGGUGUAAGAGACCACCAAGGCUAAGACGGGUAGCUGGUCUGAGAGGAUGAUCAGCCACACUGGAACUGAGACACGGUCCAGACUCCUACGGGAGGCAGCAGUGGGGAAUAUUGGGCAAUGGGCGCAAGCCUGACCCAGCCAUGCCGCGUGGAGGGA
rnacentral:rRNA from 1 species